UGCAAUCCCAUCAGAGGAAAACCAGCAAGGAUUCCUUUUUAUGCUUGGCAGAGAAAGAAAUUAAGACCCCGGGAGAGUAAAUGGUUGAGCCAAGGUCAUGGUCAGCUGAGAUAUAGCCCAUCUACAGUGAGCUCGGCUGGCUGGCUUCAUUUCUCACUUCAGACCUGUAAGUAGCUGGGAUGGCUCUGCCCCAUAUGACUCUCAGCCUCUUCUCAGGACCCUGGCUGUCUAUGGUCUGAACAAUGGACCUGGCAUUCUGCAAGAUUUUGAGGAUACAAAGGUAAAAAAUGUAAUCUUCAUGAACAGGCAGUUUCUGCAGAGUACUAGAUUUGCUAUGAGAGAGGCAAGGACUCUUGAGAACAGAUACUUUCAAGAACAACAACAACAAAGAGGAGCCAAGAGAUGAAUCACAGAGGAACAAAAUCACAGCUGAAAAAAUUCUGGGGUUCGAUCCACUCAUACUUCAGCCAGUGAAUCCAGAUGAAUGGAGUGAGUUUCAGAGUGGAGCAAGACGAUCCAAUUCCCUGGAUGAAUGGCGAGCAGAAAAACGAUGACCGGCAGUAGCCUCCCUGGUCAGCACCAUGGACAGCAGAUGUGAUUCUCUGCAGGGGGACCUUCCACAGCAGAAUUCUGGGCAUGUUUUUGAGUGAAUUAUGUAGGACAGAUCCAUCCUUCCCCCCACCCCCGAAUGAUUUUUUAUCACUAGGGGGCAGUAGGGGGCUACUUUUUUUGUUGUUGUUAAGGACUUGAUAUGUGUGUUGGGUGGGGAUUGGGCAGUGGCAGGAGUGCAUGAUAAAGUAUCAGUAAGAGAUUUGGCAGCUAAGUUAGAGAGUGGGAAAUUCCCAAGAAAUACGUGGGUGGUCAGGAGGGAGGGGUCCCCAGUGGGAGCGAGGAAGAGAGGGGACUUGGGGUAAAAAGAGAGAAAACUACAGACGUGUUAAAAGAAAAUUCCAAUGGGGCAUGUAAAGCAAAUAUCUAUCUCCCUUGCCAAAUGCUCAGUAAAUCCAACACGGCUGACUUACGUGAGACUGGCUUUGAGAGCUUGAAGAAGAGGCUGCAAGGGACAGUGAGAGCUGUAUCCUAUGUGUGACAUACGCAAAUUAGCACUGACUGGCUGGCUUCUUCCCAGGCUGUGGUAGUCAAGAGCUUUUAGCCUUUUGACUCUUGUGCUUCCGCUUGGUCUCCCCAGUCACUCUGUCAUCUUCAGAGGGCAGGUAUGAUGCCUCCUCUGCCUUUCUCCCUGCCACCCAUGGACUGGACUAUUGGGGGGAACAUAUAACUACUCAGGACACACUCAAGACUUUGUUCCCUCUGAGUCUCAUUCAGAAAGGACUUGUGGGUUUUCCUCUGCCCACAGAAAUGAGAGUUCUCAGGGUUUCCAAGUCACUGGAAAUCUUUAAAUAUUUUUUUACCCUUGUCACUAUAAGUAUACCUCAACCGAUCAGACCAUGGAUUUAAAAUUCAGGCUCAGAAAUUGUGCUCACAAAUGCUUUUAGGAUCAAUACAGGAAUAUACUCACACCCAGAGCUGACCUGCUUUCUCUAGCUCACAAGCAAACUCUCAAUCUACCAACAAUUUCACCUCGCCAGGGCUAGGUGGGAUGCACAUGGAAGUCUGAGUGUGGAUUCUCCCCUUCCCAUGGCCAAGUUCUCCUUCAUCCCAAUCAGAGUCCUUAAGGAGCAACUGAUCAAAAAGCCUCCACACCUCCUGUGGCAUCUUUUCAUGUAGGUCUGGAAGUGUCCAAAACUGUUGGGAGUGAGGUGGUAGUGAUUGGGUGUUCUCAGAGUCAGGUCUGGAACCCCCCUGAUCAUGUGUCAGAGAAACUAUUGUGAGCAAUGGCUAAGGGUAGUUGAAAUCCACAAUGGGUAUUUUGUUGGUAAAACAGAUUUUUGUGACUGGCCAAGGAAUGUGGCCCCAGUUGUGGUAGACAUUGCGGAGAAACUACUGGCUUUGAAUUCUGAUGUACCUGAGUUGAAUUUUGGCCCUGCCACUUCCUUUCUAUGUGACCUUGGGCACAUCACACUAAUCUCUCUGAGCCUCAGUUUCUUCAUCUGUAAAAUGGGACUGAGAUAUGCACUGACAUUUAAUGAAUUGUUAAGAUAGGAGACAAACUCCAGCAAAUCUCAGUGGCUUUAACUCA